rnacentral:antisense_RNA from 1 species
UGUAGCUGGAGGACAGGAAAUAGAUCUUUAUUAUGUCAGUUUAAGCCCUGUGCCAUCCCACCCUGGUAUCAUAUCUGUGCAGCAGGCUCCCCUGCACACCCUGAGGCUGUGGCGGGUAGGGGUGGGGUGAGGCCCGGCUAGCCUCCUCUCACCCCUGCUCCAGCCCACCACAGUCAUGUCAGCAAUGCCUGGCGCAGCAUCUGCUUCUUCUGGGGUGUGAGGCGGGUGGGGAACUGGAUGUCGAAGAAGAUGAAGAGAUCCCCUUUCUUAGUGGGGUCCUCCGGCAAUGGCAUCCCCUCCCCUGGCACCUUCUUGAAGUAUUUGGGGUGGACGAUGUCAUUGAUGGGGAUGUUGAGCAGACGGUCAUCUAGGGUCCUCACCUCCACAGUGCAGCAGGUGAGAGCCUUGCCAAGAGGGAUGGGGUUCACGAAGAAGAGGUUGUCAUUCUCCCUGCGGAAGCGAGGGUGUAGCUUCUCCUUUACGAUGAAAAUGAUGUCUGCUGGGAUGAUGUUGGGGCCCUGGUCCCCUUCCUUCUCAAAGGUGAUGCGUGUGCCCUGCCUCCAACCGGGCUUCACAUCAAUGGUCAGGAUCUUGUCCUUGAUGGUGGAGGAGUACCCAUCCUCGUUCAGCACCCUUCUGGAGAUCUUAAUUUUUUUGGUGCAGCCAAAGAAUAAGUCCUCCAGGGACAGGUAGAGAUCCCGUUCGACUUGGGGGUCCUGCUUCUUGACCCCUCGGCCCUGGAGCCCCCCAAAGUUCAAAUCUACCUCACUUCCUUCUGCAUCAAAAAACUCUGCAGGAGGAAAGGGAGGCACUCCCUCUGGUGGCCGCACUCCCGAGCGCGGAAGUCCACCGCGCUCUUCUGGUGGAAGACCACCAGAAGAGACUGCUGGUAGUCCUCGGCAGGAAGUGCAAAGACAGCCCCAUCCUGGCUCUGCCCCUGAUGUGCUGUGUGAUCCGUGGGCUUCAGUGUCUUGGUCUGUGGGAUGGGGUAAUAAUGCCUGACCUGCCUUCCACCAUUAAGAUGAAGAGCUAAAACUUGCUGAGAGCUUACUAUGCGUCAGGUGCUAUUUUUGGAACCUUACAUUAUUAUUUCAUUGGUCCAGGGAGCCCAAACAAAAUGCUUAAGGUCCCGUAGCUAGUAAGCAGUAGAGUUGGGAUCUGAACCACAGGACAAUAUGACUACGGAACCUGUGUCCUUAACCACUGUGCCACACCGCAUCGCUAGAUGUGGAAGCCCCUCAUAAGCUGUAAACUCGAGGGGCGCUAUGGUUAAGAGUUUCCAUAUUCUGCCUCUCAUGGUUAAUGCCAUGGAAUGAACUUCACAGGCUAGAAUGGUGAAAUGACCUUAGGCAGGGAUGGUGAGGUGACUACACUAUGUCCCUCUAAGAUGUGAUGGGCAAUCAAGAGGCCUGAAUCUUCUGGUCCUCCUGUUGCAUUGCUGAAUUC